rnacentral:lncRNA from 1 species
CUCCAAAUUAGAGGACAAAACGGUCCGAAAGUAGGAAAAAUUUGCGACAAUGGCUAGAAAUUGAUGGAAACGGUGGGAAAAAACAUAUGAACUGGACUCUAACAAGACCUAACCAACAAUAAGGCCUCGACCAGGACACAACUCAACAUUGUGGACUCUGAAACUGAAAUAUGCCAAGGCUAUGGCGCAGAAGGGUAGUAGGAUAGGAAAACGAUAUGGCAGUGGACUUAUGGGACGAACACAAGAACACUCGAAACUAAGGGUAGAUGUCAACCUAAUGGUAUACCUAAAGCUUUGAUUAUCACUUGAUGAGAAGAAGGGAGGCCCAAUCUUCUGAAAGGUUCAGGUAACUCUCGAUUUGGUGGUGACGAGACACAAAUCGAUUCGGCUUCCAAACAACAUGAUCCGAAACCCUACAAUUUUUUUAUUUUUUGAUAUUUUUCUUUUACUUCGGAGCACUAAAGAAGUAAGCACAGAAAAUUUAUGCUUAAACAUGUGAAAGACGUGGCCUGCAGAAUUUUCUGAAGAUUGCAAAAAAUGUGAAAAAAAACUUCACGAGUUGAAAACUCAAAGGUCGGAGGCAAAUUUGGAGAUUCUAAAAUUUUCAAACGCACGAAAGGCAUCGAGAGACAGAUCUGAAGUUUUUUUCUGAUCGAUUUUGCUAUAUGGAACGUUGAAAUCGGAGUUCGUAUGCGAAAGUUAUGGCUGUUUUACGAACGGACUCCAAAUUAGUGGACAAAACGGUCCGAAAGUGGGAAACAUUUGCGGCGGUGGCUAGAAAUUGAUGGAAACGGUGGGGAAAAACGCACGAACUGGACUCUAACAAGACCCAACCAGCAAUAAGACCUCGACCAGGACACAAACUCAACAAUGUGGACUCUGAAACUGAAAUAUGCAAAGGCUAUGGCGCGGAAGGGUUGUAGGACAGGAAAACGAUAUGGCACUAGACUUAUAGGACGAACUCAAGAACACUCGAAACUAAGGGUACAUGUGAACCUAACGAUAUACCUGAAGCUUUGAUUACCACUUGAUGAGAACAAUGGUGGUCUGAUCUUCCGAAAGGUUGUGGUAACUCUCGAUCUGGUGGACACAAGACACAAAUCGAUCCGGCUUCCGAACAACAUGAUCCGAAACCUUGCAAUUUUUUUAUUUUUUUUGAUAUUUUUCUUUUACUUAGGAGCACUAAAGAAGUAACCACAAAAAAUUUGAGCUUAAACAAGUGAAAGACGUGGCUUGUGGAAUUUUCUGAAGAUUGAGAAAAAUGUGAAAAAAACUUCACAAGGUGAAAACUCAAAGGUCGGAGGCAAAUUUGGAGAUUCCAAAAAUUUCAAACCCACCAAAGGCAUGGAGAGACAGAUCCAAAGUUUUUUUCUAAUCAAUUUUGAUAUAUGGAACGUUGAAAUCGGAGUUCGUAUGCGAAAGUUAUGGCUAUUUUACGAACGGACUCCAAAUUAGUGGACAAAACGGUCUGAAAGUGGGAAACAUUUGCGGCGGUGGCUAGAAAUUGAUGGAAACGGUGGGGAAAAACGCACGAACUGGACUCUAACAAGACCCAACCAGAAAUAAGACCUCGACCAGGACACAAACUCAGCACUGUGGACUCUGAAACUGAAAUAUGCAAAGGCUAUGGCGCGGAAGGGUUGUAGGACAGGAAAACGAUAUGGCACUAGACUUAUGGGACGAACACAAGAACACUCGAAACUAAGGGUAGAUGUGAACCUAACGAUAUACCUGAAGCUUUGAUUACCACUUGAUGAGAACAAUGGUGGUCUGAUCUUCUGAAAGGUUGUGGUAACUCUCGAUCUGGUGGAGACAAGACACAAAUCAAUCCGGCUUCCGAACAACAUGAUCCGAAACCUUGCAAUUUUAUUAUUUUUUUUGAUAUUUUUCUUUUACUUAGGAGCACUAAAGAAGUAACCAUAGAAAAAUUGAGCUUAAACAAGUGAAAGACGUGGCUUGCGGAAUUUUCUGAAGAUUGAGAAAAAUGUGAAAAAAAACUUCACAAGGUGAAAACUCAAAGGUCGGAGGCAAAUAUGGAGAUUCCAAAAUUUUCAAACCCACCAAAGGCAUGGAGAGACAGAUCCAAAGUUUUUUUCUAAUCAAUUUUGAUAUAUGGAACGUUGAAAUCAAAGUUCGGAUGUGAAAGUUAUGGCUGUUUUACGAACGGACUCCAAAUUAGAGGACAAAACGGUCCGAAAGUAGGAAAAAUUUGCGACAAUGGCUAGAAAUUGAUGGAAACGGUGGGAAAAAACAUAUGAACUGGACUCUAACAAGACCUAACCAACAAUAAGGCCUCGACCAGGACACAACUCAACAUUGUGGACUCUGAAACUGAAAUAUGCCAAGGCUAUGGCGCAGAAGGGUAGUAGGAUAGGAAAACGAUAUGGCAGUGGACUUAUGGGACGAACACAAGAACACUCGAAACUAAGGGUAGAUGUCAACCUAAUGGUAUACCUAAAGCUUUGAUUAUCACUUGAUGAGAACAAGGGAGGCCCAAUCUUCUGAAAGGUUCAGGUAACUCUCGAUUUGGUGGUGACGAGACACAAAUCGAUUCGGCUUCCAAACAACAUGAUCCGAAACCCUACAAUUUUUUUUAUUUUUUGAUAUUUUUCUUUUACUUCGCAGCACUAAAGAAGUAAGCACAGAAAAUUUAUGCUUAAACAUGUGAAAGACGUGGCCUGCAGAAUUUUCUGAAGAUUGCAAAAAAUGUGAAAAAAAACUUCACGAGUUGAAAACUCAAAGGUCGGAGGCAAAUUUGGAGAUUCUAAAAUUUUCAAACGCACGAAAGGCAUGGAGAGACAGAUCUGAAGUUUUUUUCUGAUCGAUUUUGCUAUAUGGAACGUUGAAAUCGGAGUUCGUAUGCGAAAGUUAUGGCUGUUUUACGAACAGACUCCAAAUUAGUGGACAAAACGGUCCGAAAGUGGGAAACAUUUGCGGCGGUGGCUAGAAAUUGAUGGAAACGGUGGGGAAAAACGCACGAACUGGACUCUAACAAGACCCAACCAGCAAUAAGACCUCGACCAGGACACAAACUCAACACUGUGGACUCUGAAACUGAAAUAUGCAAAGGCUAUGGCGCGGAAGGGUUGUAGGACAGGAAAACGAUAUGGCACUAGACUUAUAGGACGAACUCAAGAACACUCGAAACUAAGGGUACAUGUGAACCUAACGAUAUACCUGAAGCUUUGAUUACCACUUGAUGAGAACAAUGGUGGUCUGAUCUUCCGAAAGGUUGUGGUAACUCUCGAUCUGGUGGACACAAGACACAAAUCGAUCCGGCUUCCGAACAACAUGAUCCGAAACCUUGCAAUUUUUUUAUUUUUUUUGAUAUUUUUCUUUUACUUAGGAGCACUAAAGAAGUAACCACGAAAAAUUUGAGCUUAAACAAGUGAAAGACGUGGCUUGUGGAAUUUUCUGAAGAUUGAGAAAAAUGUGAAAAAAACUUCACAAGGUGAAAACUCAAAGGUCGGAGGCAAAUUUGGAGAUUCCAAAAAUUUCAAACCCACCAAAGGCAUGGAGAGACAGAUCCAAAGUUUUUUUCUAAUCAAUUUUGAUAUAUGGAACGUUGAAAUCGAAGUUCGGAUGUGAAAGUUAUGGCUGUUUUACGAACGGACUCCAAAUUAGAGGACAAAACGGUCCGAAAGUAGGAAAAAUUUGCGGCAAUGGCUAGAAAUUGAUGGAAACGGUGAGGAAAAACAUAUGAACUGGACUCUAACAAGACCUAACCAACAAUAAGGCCUCGACCAGGACACAACUCAACAUUGUGGACUCUGAAACUGAAAUAUGCCAAGGCUAUGGCGCAGAAGGGUUGUAGGAUAGGAAAACGAUAUGGCACUGGACUUAUGGAACGAACACAAGAACACUCGAAACUAAGGGUAGAUGUCAACCUAAUGGUAUACCUGAAGCUUUGAUUACCACUUGAUGAGAACAAGGGAGGCCCAAUCUUCUGAAAGGUUCAGGUAACUCUCGAUUUGGUGGUGACGAGACACAAAUCGAUUCGGCUUCCAAACAACACGAUCCGAAACCCUACAAUUUUUUUAUUUUUUGAUAUUUUUCUUUUACUUCGGAGCAAUAAAGAAGUAAGCACAAAAAAAUUUAUGCUUAAACAAGUGAAAGACGUGGCCUGCAGAAUUUUCUGAAGAUUGCGAAAAAUGUGAAAAAAACUUCACAAGGUGAAAACUCAAAGGUCGGAGGCAAAUAUGGAGAUUCCAAAAUUUUCAAACCCACCAAAGGCAUGGAGAGACAGAUCCAAAAUUUUUUUCUAAUCAAUUUUGAUAUAUGGAACGUUGAAAUCAAAGUUCGGAUGUGAAAGUUCUGGCUG